rnacentral:rRNA from 1 species
GUGGGGAAUUUUGGACAAUGGGCGCAAGCCUGAUCCAGCAAUGCCGCGUGCAGGAAGAAGGCCUUCGGGUUGUAAACUGCUUUUGUACGGAACGAAAAGGCUCUGGUUAAUACCUGGGGCUCAUGACGGUACCGUAAGAAUAAGCACCGGCUAACUACGUGCCAGCAGCCGCGGUAAUACGUAGGGUGCGAGCGUUAAUCGGAAUUACUGGGCGUAAAGCGUGCGCAGGCGGUGCUGUAAGACAGGCGUGAAAUCCCCGGGCUCAACCUGGGAAUUGCGCUUGUGACUGCAAGGCUGGAGUGCGGCAGAGGGGGAUGGAAUUCCGCGUGUAGCAGUGAAAUGCGUAGAUAUGCGGAGGAACACCGAUGGCGAAGGCAAUCCCCUGGGCCUGCACUGACGCUCAUGCACGAAAGCGUGGGGAGCAAACAGGAUUAGAAACCCUGGUAGUCC